UACGAAGGGGGCUAGCGUUGCUCGGAAUCACUGGGCGUAAAGCGCACGUAGGCGGCUUCUUAAGUCAGGGGUGAAAUCCUGGAGCUCAACUCCAGAACUGCCUUUGAUACUGAGAGGCUUGAGUCCGGGAGAGGUGAGUGGAACUGCGAGUGUAGAGGUGAAAUUCGUAGAUAUUCGCAAGAACACCAGUGGCGAAGGCGACUCACUGGACACGUAUUGACGCUGAGGUGCGAAAGCGUGGGGAGCAAACAGG
rnacentral:rRNA from 1 species